rnacentral:rRNA from 1 species
UACGGAGGGUGCAAGCGUUAUCCGGAAUCAUUGGGUUUAAAGGGUGCGCAGGCGGGGCUUUAAGUCAGUGGUGAAAUCCCUUCGCUUAACGAAGGAACUGCCAUUGAUACUGAAGCUCUUGAAUUUAGUUGGCGUGGGCGGAAUGUGCCAUGUAGCGGUGAAAUGCUUAGAUAUGGCACAGAACACCGAUCGCGAAGGCAGCUCACGAAACUAAUAUUGACGCUCAGGCACGAAAGCAUGGGGAGCAAACAGG